UCAAUGAGAAAGCAGUUGUAACUGAACCGUUGAACGUGAAGUAACAAUGAAAUUUGCCGCAUUAUUUGUAGCUGUGUCGUGCGUUUUGUGCGUUUGCCUCGCAGGAACACCUCGUGGAACACCCAAAUUGACAACUUGGGGAAACGUGAACGGUCGCGUAUUGGGUACAGAAAACAUUGUCAUUGAAUCAUCUUUUAUGCAAGUCAAAACAUACACUUUCACCUAUCCAAAGACUCCAAAUUCGGCUUAUCCAAUUUUCGGCUUCAAACAUUGGGACUUCAAAUCACAUCCAGUUGAUGUUAGAAUCAUGAAAGGUGACAUUGGACACAGAAACAUUACCAUUAAAAUUGAAUCACAACGCAACCAUGGAAUCAACUCGACCUUCGUUUUCUGCACGAAUUAAAUAUUGACCUUAGUGAACAAUGGAGUGAAGUGAUGAGAAUUUUGAUUAAAAUAUUUGUCACAUAAUGUAUACACCACUAUUCAGUGCAAUAAAUUUGUCUUUUAUUGAA